AACGCGAAGAACCUUACCUACCCUUGACAUGGUCGGAAUCCUGGAGAGAUCUGGGAGUGCUCGAAAGAGAACCGAUACACAGGUGCUGCAUGGCUGUCGUCAGCUCGUGUCGUGAGAUGUUGGGUUAAGUCCCGCAACGAGCGCAACCCUUGUCCUUAGUUGCUACGCAAGAGCACUCUAGGGAGACUGCCGGUGACAAACCGGAGGAAGGUGGGGAUGACGUCAAGUCCUCAUGGCCCUUAUGGGUAGGGCUUCACACGUCAUACAAUGGUCGGAACAGAGGGUCGCCAACCCGCGAGGGGGAGCUAAUCCCAGAAAACCGAUCGUAGUCCGGAUUGCACUCUGCAACUCGAGUGCAUGAAGCUGGAAUCGCUAGUAAUCGCGGAUCAGCAUGCCGCGGGAAUACGAUC
rnacentral:rRNA from 1 species